rnacentral:rRNA from 1 species
UACGUAGGGUGCGAGCGUUAAUCGGAAUUACUGGGCGUAAAGGGCUCGUAGGCGGCCAACUAAGUCAGACGUGAAAUCCCUCGGCUUAACCGGGGAACUGCGUCUGAUACUGGAUGGCUUGAGUUUGGGAGAGGGAUGCGGAAUUCCAGGUGUAGCGGUGAAAUGCGUAGAUAUCUGGAGGAACACCGGUGGCGAAGGCGGCAUCCUGGACCAACACUGACGCUGAGGAGCGAAAGCCAGGGGAGCAAACGGG